rnacentral:rRNA from 1 species
GACGAACGCUGGCGGCGUGCUUAACACAUGCAAGUCGAACGCUGAACCCGCUUCGGUGGGGGAUGAGUGGCGAACGGGUGAGUAACACGUGGGCAACCUGCCCCCGGCUCUGGGAUAACUCCAAGAAAUUGGGGCUAAUACCGGAUGUGACCGCUGGCCGCAUGGUCUGGUGGUGGAAAGGGUUUCCGGCUGGGGAUGGGCCCGCGGCCUAUCAGCUUGUUGGUGGGGUAGUGGCCUACCAAGGCGACGACGGGUAGCCGGCCUGAGAGGGUGACCGGCCACACUGGGACUGAGACACGGCCCAGACUCCUACGGGAGGCAGCAGUGGGGAAUAUUGCGCAAUGGGCGGAAGCCUGACGCAGCGACGCCGCGUGGGGGAUGACGGCCUUCGGGUUGUAAACCUCUUUCAGCAGGGACGAAGCGCAAGUGACGGUACCUGCAGAAGAAGCACCGGCCAACCACGUG